rnacentral:rRNA from 1 species
UACGGAGGGUGCGAGCGUUAAUCGGAAUUACUGGGCGUAAAGCGUGCGCAGGCGGUUUGUUAAGCGAGAUGUGAAAGCCCCGGGCUCAACCUGGGAACCGCAUUUCGAACUGGCAAACUAGAGUCUUGUAGAGGGGGGUAGAAUUCCAGGUGUAGCGGUGAAAUGCGUAGAUAUCGGGAGGAACACCAGUAGCGAAGGCGGCCAUCUGGCUGGUAACUGACGCUGAGGUGCGAGAGCGUGGGGAGCAAACAGG